UAGGGAAUCUUCGGCAAUGGGGGGAACCCUGACCGAGCAACGCCGCGUGAGUGAAGAAGGUUUUCGGAUCGUAAAGCUCUGUUGUUAAGGAAGAACGAGUGUGAGAAUGGAAAGUUCAUGCUGUGACGGUACUUAACCAGAAAGGGACGGCUAACUACGUGCCAGCAGCCGCGGUAAUACGUAGGUCCCGAGCGUUGUCCGGAUUUAUUGGGAGUAAAGCGAGCGCAGGCGGUUAGAAAAGUCUGAAGUGAAAGGCAGUGGCUCAACCAUUGUAGGCUUUGGAAACUGUUUAACUUGAGUGCAGAAGGGGAGAGUGGAAUUCCAUGUGUAGCGGUGAAAUGCGUAGAUAUAUGGAGGAACACCGGUGGCGAAAGCGGCUCUCUGGUCUGUAACUGACGCUGAGGCUCGAAAGCGUGGGGAGCGAACAGG
rnacentral:rRNA from 1 species